rnacentral:rRNA from 1 species
GGGGAAUAUUGGGCAAUGGAGGAAACUCUGACCCAGCAACGCCGCGUGGAGGAAGAAGGUUUUCGGAUCGUAAACUCCUGUCCUUGGAGACGAGUAGAAGACGGUAUCCAAGGAGGAAGCCCCGGCUAACUACGUGCCAGCAGCCGCGGUAAUACGUAGGGGGCAAGCGUUGUCCGGAAUAAUUGGGCGUAAAGGGCGCGUAGGCGGCUCGGUAAGUCUGGAGUGAAAGUCCUGCUUUUAAGGUGGGAAUUGCUUUGGAUACUGUCGGGCUUGAGUAUCGGAGAGGCAAUCGGAAUUCCUAGUGUAGCGGUGAAAUGCGUAGAGAUUGGGAGGAACACCAGUGGCGAAGGCGACUAACUGGACUGUAACUGACGCUGAGGCGCGAAAGUGUGGGGAGCAAACAGGAUUAGAUACCCUGGUAGUCCACACUGUAAACGAUGAAUGCUAGGUGUAGGGGGUAUCGACCCCUUCUGUGCCGCAGUCAACACAAUAAGCAUUUCGCCUGGGGAGUACGGCCGCAAGGUUGAAACUCAAAGGAAUUGACGGGGGCCCGCACAAGCAGCGGAGCAUGUGGUUUAAUUCGACGCAACGCGAAGAACCUUACCAGGUCUUGACAUCCACUUAAACUUACAGAGAUGUAAGGUGUGCUUGCACAAAGUGAGACAGGUGGUGCAUGGUUGUCGUCAGCUCGUGUCGUGAGAUGUUGGGUUAAGUCCCGCAACGAGCGCAACCCUUAUCUUCAGUUACUAACGCGUGAGGGUGAGGACUCUGAAGAGACUGCCGGGGACAACUCGGAGGAAGGUGGGGACGACGUCAAAUCAUCAUGCCCCUUAUGACCUGGGCUACACACGUGCUACAAUGGCCACGACAGAGAGAAGCGAAAUCGUAAGGUAGAGCGGAACUCAAAAAAGUGGUCCCAGUUCGGAUUGUGGGCUGCAACCCGCCCACAUGAAGUCGGAGUUGCUAGUAAUCGCGGAUCAGCAUGCCGCGGUGAAUACGUUCCCG